UGACACAUUUUUCCAUACGGUGGAACC
rnacentral:sRNA from 1 species